GAUGAACGCUGGCGGCGUGCCUAAUACAUGCAAGUCGAGCGGACAGACGAGGAGCUUGCUCCGCUCACGUUUGCGGAGCGCGGGAGAGAAACACGUGUAUAACCUACCUAUAAUAGGGGGAUAUCUUCGGGAAACCGGAGAUAAUACGGUAGGAGAUAUUGAACCGCAGGGGGCAAUGGAGAAAGACGGUUUUGCUGUCACGUAUAGAUGCAUCUGGGCCGCAUUAGCUGGUUGUUAAGGUAACGGCCUACGAAGGGUACGAUGCGUAGCCGAACUGAGAGGGUGAUCGGCCACACUGGAGCUGAGACACGGUCCAGACGCCUGCGGGAGGCAGCAGUAGGGAAUCGUACGCAAAGGGCGAAAGCUUGACGGAGCAACGCCGCGUGAGUUAUGAAGGUCUUCGGAGCGUAAAACUCUGUUAUGAGGGAAGAACAAAUGUGUAAGUAACUAUGCACGUCUUGACGGUACCUAAUCAGAAAGCCACGGCUAACUACGUG
rnacentral:rRNA from 1 species